rnacentral:lncRNA from 1 species
AGAUAUCUGUAUGCGUGCAAUGUUGAUACAAGAUAUUAGAAUAUAGCUUCUGUUUGUCACUUAUCAAGCGGUAGUAUACAUGGAUGUGCUGUACAGAAAAAUAAACACGUCAAAUUAUACGAGUUCAUUAGAAGUAAAUUAAAUAAAGAUUAAUAAUAAUUACCUUGUCUCCUAGCCAUCUCAUUGACUCUUUCCUUAAGAGCAUUCUAAAAAGCUUCUUCGACUAUCGGAUGUCAC